rnacentral:rRNA from 1 species
GACGAACGCUGGCGGCGUGCCUAAUACAUGCAAGUAGAACGCUGAAGAGAGGAGCUUGCUCUUCUUGGAUGAGUUGCGAACGGGUGAGUAACGCGUAGGUAACCUGCCUGGUAGCGGGGGAUAACUAUUGGAAACGAUAGCUAAUACCGCAUAAAAUUGAUUAUUGCAUGAUAAUUAAUUGAAAGAUGCAACUGCAUCACUACCAGAUGGACCUGCGUUGUAUUAGCUAGUUGGUGAGGUAACGGCUCACCAAGGCGACGAUACAUAGCCGACCUGAGGGGGUGAUCGGCCACACUGGGACUGAGACACGGCCCAGACUCCUACGGGAGGCAGCAGUAGGGAAUCUUCGGCAAUGGGGGGAACCCUGACCGAGCAACGCCGCGUGAGUGAAGAAGGUUUUCGGAUCGUAAAGCUCUGUUGUAAGAGAAGAACGGGUGUGAGAGUGGAAAGUUCACACUGUGACGGUAUCUUACCAGAAAGAGACGGCUAACUACGUG